AAUCCAUGCAUAGGACAUUUCCACAGAAAAUCUUUAAAUCUUUCUCAUGCUUUAUAAUAGAUUUCAUCAUUUAUCUACUUGAAUGAAGUUAAAUCAUUUCGAAGCUU